CUCAUUUAAAAGUGCAGGAAAUUAAGAGAUUUUAUUUUUAGAAUUUCACAAUAGCUGUGAGAAUAAUGAAAGGGGUGUCCUGCAAUCAGGGCUGGGAAUCCUUGAUUUAACCACUUGGAAAGUAGGGUGGACAUGAGCGGUGGUCAGAAUUUUCCGCAGCGCUGUCUGUCAGUCAGUCACUGCUCUGACUGAUGCGCGUUGCUUUGCAGGUUUGGGCACGGUCGGGUGGUGUGGGGACAAGAGGAGGAAGGACAUGGGAUGUGACACACAGACCCUCCCUGUUGGUAGGGCUCCAGAAUGUCAUUGUCACCAGUCUAUAGCCAACUUGUUUUCCUCUUCCCUUCCCAUCAUGCAAUGCUUUUUAUGCUGUUUUGUUUGUUUAUUUGGGAUUAUUUGGAUUUAUCGGUGCUGGAGUUUGAACCCAGGACUUCAUGCAUAAGAAGCACCAUGACCUGGGUUUGUAGUUUGAAUCCAAGGCUCUAGGGAAAGUCCAGUGCCACAAGGCAGCCUCAGGAAUCAAACUCAUGACCUUGCGCUUGCCAGGCAGGCGCUUACACCACUGAGCUAAAUCCCCAGCCAGAUGUCAGCAUCUUAAAGGAGUCUAGCCCACUGUGUGUGUGAGCGUGUGUGUGGCAGCCCCAGCCCCCUUCAGAAGACUGCAAAAGGAAACAUUAUGCAAUGAAGCAGAUUUGCUGAGCCUCCAGUCUCUCAUUUUCUUUUAGACUUCAAAUAUGUGUGCUUACUUAUUGAUUCUUGCAUUAAUUUUAAUAUUGUAUUCUUUCAAAAUUACCAAAAUCAUACAUGGGCACUGAAUCAAAGUCAAAUAAUGCAUGAGCAAGUAUUAGGAAAGUUGUUUCUGUUUCUCCAUCAUGUGUGGUGCUGGGACUGAACCUGGAGCCUUGUGUGUGCUAAGAACAUGGUCUUCCACCAGUUACACCUGCAGCCAGAAGCGUAUCUUAACGGUGCCCCCUCCCACUCCCUCACAAGUGUUUCCACUGAGCUUUCUUGGGCCGUGGCUGUGGCAGGAAGGCACAGCUGUCCAGUUUGAGGAACCAGAGUUCAUGCUCCUACCCUGCCAUUUGGUAGCUUGGUAACUAUGACAAGUUAUUUAGGCUCUGAGAUGAGCCACCCAUCAGUCGCACAUGGAUGACUGCAAGGUCUGUCUGGUGGAAUCAGAAAAGUUAUUUCCAGUGUUUGGGAAGUCAUAAUCCCAGGACAUGGGGAUCCCCGGGGACCUGGCCUCAAUGACCACCUAGCACCUGCAACUCAGCCUCCUCUGACCAAUCCCUGUGGCUUCCCCAAAGCACCAACUUUUACUAAAGGAUCAUAACUUUUUAGAUGGUACACAGGGUACCUUGAGACUGUAAUAUUAAAUGAAAUAAAUUAUCAGACACACAAGUCUAAAUAUUGCAUGGCUUCUCUUAUACAAGAAGCACAAAGAAUAAAUAAAUGAGCAAAAUAAAAGAGAGAAUAAGAAACAGGGAGGUGAACCUUUUGCAAAUGGGAAAGGGACCAAUAGCUGGAGGAAGGGGCAUGGGAGGAGAAGGGAAAUGGAUGUAAAUAAAUUAAGAUAACUUAGAUACAUGUACUGCAAACAUGUACUAAUAAAAACAAAAAUUAAAAAAAUAGGUGGUGCAUACGUUAUACUUCUCCUUCAAAUAACUUUUUGGGAGACAAGGAGGUGCUGGGGAUGGAACCCAAGACCCUGUGCAAGCUCAGCAAAUGCUCUACCACUGAGCCACACCCCCAGGCCUACUAAAAGUUUUUUUUAAAAAAAGACUAGUAGCUUUGUAGCAAAUAGCCCUUUAAAAGCCAAAUGCUAUGUGUCAAUGGUGGAAGUAGAAAAAAAUUAAAUAAACGAAUAAAAAGCAGACUGAGUGGUGGAACGGUAGCUUGGUACAGCCUUGGAACCAGGGCAGGAACAAGUGACCACAGACUGCUCUAGACACAGCAGAACAAUGGUGUAGCAAUGCCUAGGACUCUUCUCAACAGGAACUCUAAAUAGCAUAGAGACUGCGCAGGGGAGAAAGCUUGCUCAGAAUUAGCAUGCUAACAAACUUUGCAGUGUAACGACGAUCACAGAAACCACACGAAGCCAGACAGGAGGCAAGACCAGGAACCACAACAGACACUGCCCUGACCCAGGUGGGCACACACUUUUGAAGUUUACAAAAAUGCCCCUCAAAACCCCUCUCUGUUGAAGGAAACACUGGAGAUGCAGGCAGUCUCUGAGUGUGUGGCCUCUGCAGAGGCCCGGCCAGGGAGGGCAGCUCAGGUGACUUUGGGGUGGCUGGGCCACAUGCCCUGGAGUGCAACUCCCAGCUCCCUCCGGGGAACCACACUGCCCCAAACCCCAAAGGUAAAAGGAACUCAGCCAACAAAACCUGCCUGUUUCCAAAAACAAUGCCCAGGGCAUCUCUGGACUCGAGGCGCUCUUGGCUGCAGCGCCAUCUCUCAGCCUCCUGCCUGACCUUGCCCACUCCCUGCCUGGUGCCUGCUCCCCUCCACCUCCUGGCCAAGCCUCUGCCCUCACCCCUGUUCUGUGCCAGUGCCCAAAAAGGAGAUAUGGCAAAGCCAUCAACGUGCCACACCUGCAACAAGACGGUCAUUUGCACCCUAGCAAAGCCUCAACUGUUGUCACAGUUACUGAGGCCUGUGGGGAUCUAAAUACUUCCCUGACCUUUCUCGUUUCUUUCUCCUAGCAGCCAGUGUGGCCCACAGGACAUAGUGAGGCCACCGAGUGACCACAGAUCGCCAGAGUGACCAGGAAGGCUUUAAAAUGGCCGGCAAUGCCCCAGAAUUCAGGAGAGGGAAGGAAUAGCCCUGCCAGUGCCUGGACUUUAGACUUGCAGCCCAGAGAACCACUGGACAGUAAAGGUCCAUUGUUCUAGCGCGGUCUAUCUGUGAUCCUCACAGACAUUCACUGCUUUUGCUACUUUUUGUCCUCUGACCUAAGCCCAAAUAUAAAUGUUGGAUGUCACUCAGCCCCAGGCAUCCUUGCAGCUGGUGGGAUGGCCCCUUGAGUGACCCCCAAGCUCCCAUCUCCAGCAGACAGAUGGAGCUUGCAGAAACAAGGUGACAGCAUCCUGACUUUUCCUCCCACAGCAGUCACAGUGACUGCUGGCAACAUGGGCUCCACGACAGAGGCUGAUGUUAUAGAAACAGGGCCUCCAGGAUGAUAGCAUUAAAAAAUAAAUUCCUGGCUGAGCUGAAUCCUGCCUCUACCUGGCAGGAAGAGGACAGGUCAAAUCUGGGCUGCAUCAGUCAGAGGUGACAGCCAGAGUAGGGCUGGGAAGCAGAAUGCAGGGGCAAGUGCCUGACUGUGACCGUGAGUGACCCAGCGGGCAAGCUCCGGCCUCGGCCCCAUGUGGGCUGUGAUCUGGAAGCCAAGGGUGGAAAACUCUUUAGAGAAGUGAGACCAGCCUGGAGAGCAAGGAAAAGGACCUCUCAUUUCCCUCACGGAGCCAGGUGGGCCACUUCUGUCAUCCUGAUCAGGCUGGAAGGCCAGCAAAAUAUAGGUCAGUGGGAUCUGAAUUACAGGUAAGCAAGGAACAUUUUACUAUGUAAGAAUAUUCAAAUACUACAUUAAGCAUCAUGAUGCUAAAACAAUGAGUAAUUUUAAUGUAAAUGUGUUAUGAAUAUUACCUGUGAUACAUUUGUGUUAAAAGAAUACAUAACUUUAAUGUAUAUCCUAAACAUUGUACAGGACGUGAUUAUACCAAAAUGCGAUUCAUUUGGUGCACGCCAGAAUCCCGGCCUUCUGAGCACUGAGCGGGGAAGGCUGAAGGUUCCAGCCCAGCCUGAGCAACAGAGUGAGACCCUAUCUCAAAAUUAACAAAAUAAAGGAUUGGGGACAUAGCUCAGCACAGAGGCUCUGGGCUCAAUCUCCACCACCAAAAACAGGAAGACAAAGAAGAAGAUAAGAAAAAGAAAGAAAGAUGUAUUACAUGAAAUUUUAUGUAAUUGGGUCUCCUAUAUUUUUCUUUGUAUAACCUGGCAGCUCUAACUGGCAACAGAGAAAGUACCUACUGCUGCUUCACCCCUCUCAUCAGCACCCAAGAAAUACUCAAAAAGAAAAGAAAGGAAAGGAAAGAAGCCAGAGUCUGUAGAGAAGAGCAGGCUGACCCGAAGGAGCAAACCAGAAAGCUAAGCUCCUCUCCAGCUGCACACAAAGCUCAAAGGUCGUGAUGAUAACGGUCCUCUCCAGGGACUCAGCCCAAAGGUCCCGCCAGCCUAGGGACCUCACUGUAUCUAGUUCGCUGCAGGAGGUUUUGACUUCUUGCAUAAUUACAACCCAGAGAUGCCACAUUGAUUGCAGCUCUCAGUGCCAGGAGUGUGGUUUGAGACUGGGCCCAGUGCAGUUUUUCCCAGAGCAGUUAUAAGGACGUCACCACAAAGCAGAAUAGGUCUACUAUGGGGAAAACGAGUGCUGAUCCUAAAAUUUCUCCAGCGUGUGGAGCUGGCUGACCAGCUGGGAGCCCAAGAAAACAAAAAGAGCUGCCUGGCUGCCUUGAAAGGCCCAGAUCUUGGACGCGUGGACUAAGCUGUGCUCCAGCAGGCGGAGAGCCAAGCUGGGCAACCCCACAGCGAGAGGCUGGCCAUGAUGGCUUCAUCUGGGGGACAGGAAAGGGUGAGGAGGGAGCAGGGUGGGGGUCUAGCAGCCAAGGACCAGGGCUUCCCUCCCCGUACCUCAGGGUUUCAGGAAUGACACCCACUCCUGCACCAGCCCUGGGAAGGGGCCGCUGAUCUCUCCAGGCUAGAGCUACAGCUCCACCCUCCCUCAGUCACACUUUAGUUAUUAUUUAAUUUUGCACAGGGAGCACAUUCAUGCAACCCAAACCCAAACGGAGGUAGCGUACAAAUCCCACAGAAGCGAAUGGCUAUCUUCAUUUCUCAUCUGUCCUUCCAGAGAGAUUUUAUAUGUUUCUUUUUCUGAGUUCUUUUCAACAGAUCUUAAUUUACUGCUCACAUUUUCCGGUUUUUCUGACUUAAACUAGGCUUUGUGAGUGUGCCUGAGGCUGUCACUAAAGUAUAAACCCAUUAGGGGCUGGGGAUUUAGCUCAGCGGCAUAAGCGCCUGCCUUGCAAGCCUGAGUUCAAUCCCCAGUACCAAUAAACGUUAAAAAAAAAAAAAAAAAAAAAAAAAAAAAAAAAAAAAAGAAUAAACCCAUUAGAUGAGCAGUGCAAAGUCCAAAAAAGAAAAAAAAGAAUAAACCCACAGCUGCUGGUGGUAUAGCUCAUGGUAGAGCGCUUGCCUGGCCCACACAAAGGCCUGGUUCAGUCUUCAGUUCUGCCAAUAAAGAAAUAAGUAAAUAGUAGUUCUCAUUACAAAAUAGAGUGAAUUUGGCAAAUGCCAAAAAAAUUGGCAAAAGUGAAAUGUCAUAUUUUGUCCUACUUCUCCAUACUGUUAACAGUUGGGUGCAUUUUACUCCAGGCUCUGUAAACAAUCCUGUGUGGCGCUUUUGACCACAACACUGUCUCCUCUUUGGGCAGAACUAGGGACAGAAAAACAAUAGGAAGAAGAUCAGAGGAGAAAGAGGAGCAAAUAGGGCAUAGGGCAGUGUGGGCAGGAGAAGCCAGCUAGUCAACGGAGAAGGGGGGUAUUCAUUCAUUGUUUUGCUUUGUUUUGUUUUGUUUUGAGACAGGGUCUCACUAUGUAGCUCAGGCUGGCCUCGAACUCAGCGACCUUCCAGCCUCUGUCCCUGAGUGCUGGGAUUACAAGCAUACACCACCAUGGCCGGCUUUCCUUCAUCCAUUUGAAGACAUAUUUGUUGUAACCCAAGUACCUGGUCUGUGAGAACAGAGAUGGUACAAGAAAAUAGCAAGAAAAAAAAGCCCAAAACAAAAAUGAAAACAAAGCAACAACAACACAAAACCUGACCACAGGGAAGAAUGGAUGAGCAGGCCAUUACAGCCCGUGACACAGUGACACAGCUCUCCAGUGGGACACUUGGGAAGCCCAAGAAGCCCGAGGAUGGGGAAGGGGUCGGAGAAGCCCUUGGUGGCAGACUGGGCACUGGCAUGGGGGGCAGGUGGAGGGAGCAUUUCUAUGAAAGGGACUGCGGCAAAAUAGAGACGGCUUGGUGUGGAGGCAGGAACCAGGAGGUCAGGUGCACGGGAGGGAAGGAAUUAGGCUUUGUCCCAGGGCAGCAAGAAAUUCUCAAAAGACUCAAAGCAGGAAAUCAGCAGGAUUGGAUCUGCACUUUGACAAAGACCAAGUCUGCUGCUGGAGAGAAACACUGGCCCCGUGGAGGGAGUGUGGAUCCUGAAGAGCUGGUUAGGGAACCACUGCCUAACAACAGGCAGGAGAGAGAGUGGCUGCAGAGAGACUGUGGGUGCCCCUAGGGGCAGGAGCCUUCGGGUGGGUUCCAAAGAUGCUGUGGUUUUAGAUUUGGAGCCUGCCUGGGGUUAGAAUGAUGACCAGGCUACGGUGUGGCAUUUCUGGACUCAAAACUCUUUACCAGUGCCCACCCAUAAUCCAACCACUCUAGGAGGCUGAGACAGGAUGCUUUCAAGCUCAAGCUCAGCCAGAGCAACUUGGUUAGACCCUGUCUCAAAAUAAAAGAUUUAAAAACCC